rfam:Schistosoma haematobium scaffold1240_12, whole genome shotgun sequence.
AUCCAGAUGAUGAGUCCCAAACAGGAAGAAACGCGCGUCAAAUUGGAU